UUUUAUUAUGGCUCAGGAUGAACGCCGGCGGUGUGCCUAAUACAUGCAAGUCGAACGCGUUGGCCCAACUGAUUGAACGUGCUUGCACGGACUUGACGUUGGUUUACCAGCGAGUGGCGGACGGGUGAGUAACACGUAGGUAACCUGCCCCAAAGCGGGGGAUAACAUUUGGAAACAGAUGCUAAUACCGCAUAACAAUUUGAAUCGCAUGAUUCAAAUUUAAAAGAUGGCUUCGGCUAUCACUUUGGGAUGGACCUGCGGCGCAUUAGCUUGUUGGUAGGGUAACGGCCUACCAAGGCUGUGAUGCGUAGCCGAGUUGAGAGACUGAUCGGCCACAAUGGAACUGAGACACGGUCCAUACUCCUACGGGAGGCAGCAGUAGGGAAUCUUCCACAAUGGGCGCAAGCCUGAUGGAGCAACACCGCGUGAGUGAAGAAGGGUUUCGGCUCGUAAAGCUCUGUUGUUAGAGAAGAACGUGCGUGAGAGCAACUGUUCACGCAGUGACGGUAUCUAACCAGAAAGUCACGGCUAACUACGUGCCAGCAGCCGCGGUAAUACGUAGGUGGCAAGCGUUAUCCGGAUUUAUUGGGCGUAAAGCGAGCGCAGGCGGUUUGAUAAGUCUGAUGUGAAAGCCUUUGGCUUAACCAAAGAAGUGCAUCGGAAACUGUCAGACUU
rnacentral:rRNA from 2 species